UUGGAGGGCAAGUCUGGUGCCAGCAGCCGCGGUAAUUCCAGCUCCAAUAGCGUAUAUUAAAGUUGUUGCAGUUAAAAAGCUCGUAGUUGAAUUUCGGGAUCAAUGGAUCGGUCAUGCCGUUGGUAUGUACUGGUUUUAUUGAUUCUCACCUUCUAAAGAACCAUGAUGGCAUUAAUUUGUUGUUGUGGGGAAUUAGGACUGUUACCUUGAAAAAAUUAGAGUGUUUAAAGCAGGCUUACGCUUGAAUACAUUAGCAUGGAAUAACGAAAUAGGACAUCGCAUUCUAUUUUGUUGGUUUCUAGGAUCGAUGUAAUGAUUAAUAGGGAUAGUUGGGGGCAUUAGUAUUCAAUUGUCAGAGGUGAAAUUCUUGGAUUUAUUGAAGACUAACUACUGCGAAAGCAUUUGCCAAGGAUGUUUUCAUUAAUCAAUAACGAAAGUUAGGGGAUCGAAGACGAUCAGAUACCGUCGUAGUCUUAACCAUAAACUAUGCCGACUAGGGAUCGGAUGAUGUUAAUUUUUUAAUGACUCAUUCGGCUCCUUACGGGAAAC
rnacentral:rRNA from 1 species